CGAACGGGUGAGUAACACGUGGGUAACCUGCCCCUUCUUCUGGAUAACCGCAUGAAAGUGUGGCUAAUACGGGAUAUUCUGCGCCUGCUGCAUGGUGGGUGUGGGAAAGAUAUUGUUUCGGUGGGGGAUGGGCUCGCGGCCUAUCAGCUUGUUGGUGGGGUGAUGGCCUACCAAGGCGGUGACGGGUAGCCGGCCUGAGAGGGUGGACGGUCACACUGGGACUGAGACACGGCCCAG
rnacentral:rRNA from 1 species